rnacentral:rRNA from 1 species
GAUGAACGCUGGCGGCGUGCCUAAUACAUGCAAGUCGAGCGAACGGACGAGAAGCUUGCUUCUCUGAUGUUAGCGGCGGACGGGUGAGUAACACGUGGAUAACCUACCUAUAAGACUGGGAUAACUUCGGGAAACCGUAGCUAAUACCGGAUAAUAUUUUGAACCGCAUGGUUCAAAAGUGAAAGACGGUCUUGCUGUCACUUAUAGAUGGAUCCGCGCUGCAUUAGCUAGUUGGUAAGGUAACGGCUUACCAAGGCAACGAUGCAUAGCCGACCUGAGAGGGUGAACCGCCACACUGGAACUGAGACACGGUCCAGACUCCUACGGGAGGCAGCAGUAGGGAAUCUUCCGCAAUGGGCGAAAGCCUGACGGAGCAACGCCGCGUGAGUGAUGAAGGUCUUCGGAUCGUAAAACUCUGUUAUUAGGGAAGAACAUAUGUGUAAGUAACUGUGCACAUCUUGACGGUACCUAAUCAGAAAGCCACGGCUAACUACGUG